AUUGAACGCUGGCGGCAGGCUUAACACAUGCAAGUCGAGCGGGGUGAUGGUGCUUGCACUAUCACUUAGCGGCGGACGGGUGAGUAAUGCUUAGGAAUCUGCCUAUUAGUGGGGGACAACAUCUCGAAAGGGAUGCUAAUACCGCAUACGUCCCACGGGAGAAAGCAGGGGAUCGUUAUGACCUUGCGCUAAUAGAUGAGCGGAAGUCGGAUGAGCUAGUUGGUGGGGUAAAGGCCUACCAAGGCGACGAUCUGUAGCGGGUCUGAGAGGAUGAUCCGCCACACUGGGACUGAGACACGGCCCAGACUCCUACGGGAGGCAGCAGUGGGGAAUAUUGGACAAUGGGGGGAACCCUGAUCCAGCCAUGCCGCGUGUGUGAAGAAGGCCUUAUGGUUGUAAAGCACUUUAAGCGAGGAGGAGGCUCUUUUGGUUAAUACCCAGAAUGAGUGGACGUUACUCGCAGAAUGAGCACCGGCUAACUCUGUGCCAGCCGCCGCAGUAA
rnacentral:rRNA from 1 species